GGGAGAUGGGGAAUAAGAGAGAACCCCUAGAAAACCUUUAGGCCCUGAGAUGAGGAUUCUGUGUCACAAUCUUUAUAUACAAAGAUGUACUCUAAACCUGGGAUUAUUUAGUGAAAGCAUUUACAGUAUUGCCAGACCCCCAAGGAGAAAGGAAAAAUCAGAAAAUGAAGAGGCAAUUAGUUUGGUGAGAUGCAAUGACUAACAUCACUGCAUAUCUGAGCCAAUAUAUAGGAGAUGCCACCAGCAGAUGUGACAUUCUGCCUUUUAAGUCCUCAAGUGUGCAGAGCUCCAGAGAGGUCAGAGUCUGAAGCAGCCCUUGUUGGGGCUGGAGGGGUCUUCUGUGAGAUCUCAACCCCUUUGACUUCUCAAGAUACACAGAUUCACUUCCUGGGAGCCAGUAUGCCUCCACCCCACAACAGAGCACCAUGUCUACUGUCACUGACACACAAAUCCUGAGAUGUGCUGUCUUGUAUGGUUUAACCUUUUCUCAGUUCGAGCAGAAACACCAAUCAGCCAGACCAUCGACCUCGACAGAAUUAGCGUUAUCACAACUGUCAGUUGGAUUGCUGCUUGUAGUUCUGUGCAAGGACAAGGGAUGACUAGGGAGUUGAUGAUGUGCUCUUCCUUUGGCAGUCAAUCUAUCAUGAAGGAGGGCUCAUGAAUGCAGAUGCAGUCUCAGGAGCAACUGACUGGAUUGCAGUGGGAAGAGAGUCUGAUGCUACAGCACAGACCUGCCCACCCCAGCACGUACCUCUCUGACUCAACAGCCACCUUUUCCUCUUGGGCUCUCGGGGAGAUAAUGAGCCUGGCUAAAUUCACUGAGGCCAACCUGAUUUGCAUCCUUCCUUUCUACUAUACAUCCAGCCAUCAAACUUCCUGUUCCUGAACUCAUUGAUUGGGAUACUCAUUCAAAUAUUUGUUUCCAGGCUUUUCAAGCUAUGAAAAUGCUGUCUUGCUUUCCCAAACCAUGGCUACUUCUCUGGGAAUAGCUUUAUUUGGCUGUGAUGAAUCCAGGCCCUGCAUAUCCAGGCUGCUGCAUGAGAUGCUGGAGACUACUAUAGAAACCGAGGAUUUAUUGUGAAUCUCCAAUCAGUCCAUCAAUUCCCUAAAUAUAGGACCCAUGAACUGCAUUUAUUUCUCAUUUAUUCUGUUCUAGUGUAAGGCUAAGUAAUAGUUCACCACCAGUAAGUGUUGGCGUUACUGAAUGAGUAAGAAUGGAAGAACUGAAUGUUGUCUGGAGGCUGGGACCUCAACCAUCAUGGGUUGAAUGUGGCGCCUACAAAGGGUAUGUCCUAACUCUUAGGAUCUAUGAAUAAGACCUUAUUUGGAAAAUGGGUCUUUGCAGACUCGGAAGUUAAGAAUCUUAAGAUGAGAUGGUCCUAGAGAAUCCAGGUGGGCCCUGAAUCCAAUAGUGUCAUUGAGACACACAGAGGAGGAGGACACCAGAAAAGGAGGAGAGGGCCACAGGAAGAGGGAAGCAGAGACUGGAUGCAGCUGCAACCCAAGGAACACCAGAAGCCACCAAAAGAAGAGGCAGGAAAGGGAUUUCCCCUAGAACCCUCAGAGGUAGUGCACCCUGCCAACAAUUUGAUUUCAGCCUUUUGGUCUCCCCAACUAUAAGAGAAUAAAUCUGUGUUGUUUUAAGCCAUCAAGUUGUGGAAGCCACAAGGAAAUGCACCCAUCAACCUUCACUCCUUUAGUGUGCUCUCUUACCACAUUCAGGAAGCAGGGGUCACUCAGCCCCUACUGUGAGACAGGAAGAGAGAGGGCUGCAGGAGACACAGAAGCUCCGGAGAGGAGAGGAGGGGACACACAGGGCGGGCAGUGCUGCCUGGAGAAAUGAGGAGAGAGAGCAAAAAAAAAAAAAAAACAAAAAAAAACAAAGAAGAGAAGCAAAAGAAAAAAACAAGGUGAGAAUGAGUUGGCCUCUGCUCAGACACUCGCCUUUGUCCCUAUCCUUUCUCUAGUCUCUCUCCUUCCCUCCCUCAGCAUCUCUCCGGCCCUCAGGCAUUCUGCUGCACUAAGCUAGUGCAUGUUUGUGCUGCUUAGAGUUUCUGUCCUGUCCCACAUUUCUGGUUACAAUCUGCAGGCACCAGUGAGAGGGUUAGAAGCUCGAGGAGAGGCACAUGCUCCCCCAGGGAGCACCUGCUCCACCAGCCCACGCUGACCCUAACCCAGCAUGCUGGCAUUCAGGGUCUCCUGCGCCCAGACAGCACCCUCCAAACUUAACUGUGUUUCCGGUGUCUGCCUGGAAUGCUCUGUGGUCAUGCCUUUCUGCCACCCUACCUUCCCCCUAGCAGGAGUGCAUGAAACAAAGGAAGGAACCCAGAAUUGCAAAUUGUGCAGUUCCAAAAUUUCCAAAGGCUGGAUGGAGAUUGUGGUUAUUUCUGCUGUUCACAUUCUGGGUUUGCCUGAGGGACUCUAGUCGUCUCUGUGCUGCCUCUAGUAGUCACUGGUAGUAGUGUUCCCCUACAGGGUGUCCUGGUCCACAAAUUUCUCACCCUGUUUUUAAAAUUUUCCAUGUGUGUUUUUUUAUUAAGAUUGUAUUUAUUUAUCCAUGAG